CUCUGACCUUGACUUAGGGAGCUGUCUAGGCCAUGAACAGCCAUCUUCUCAAGAGAAUGGGAAACAGUUUCAAAUGCUUUUCUAAAAUCCAGUUUGUGCCUGUUAUCUUUGUCCUGUCACUGGAAAAAAGGAGAAGCCACACAGAGGCAGAAAUGGACAGCUCUGACCAAGGGACAGUAGUAGAGACUGCGUAGGAGAAAUACUGAGCCUGAAGAAGAGGAAAGUCAACUAAGAUUAAAUAUAAAAUGGAAUUCCUGACCACAUGGAAGGGGAAAAUGAAGUAAUAACAUUUCACCUCUGACUCUGAGGUUGGAAACAGCUGCCCUUGAAGAAUAUUUUGAAGAAGGAGGACUUUGCACGGAGCUUCUUUUAGGGGUACUGAAAACUUUCAAGACUGUCUGAGAGGGACUCUUCAGGAAGUAUUGGCUUUACUGAUCUCUCAAAGAGCAACUUCAUUUUUUUCUAUUCUUGUGAUUUGUAUUUUCUUGUUAAGUUCAAAACUUCAGAGGUCUGAGUACAAGUAUAUCCUUCUAAUACGCCGACGACUAUAGUACUAUACAAAGGAGAAAUAAUCAUCAAAUGAAGAAGAGACAGAAGGAAUAUGCAUGCCAAACAAGAAAAAGUAAUAUUUAUUUUCUAUGAUUUUCUAAAUAAUUUUAAUUGCCAUUUAAUGGCAUAGGCUUGUGUUUGAGCAUAGAAUUGAACUGCAACAGAUCUUUUAUCAGCUGUUGCUUCUGUCUAUCAAUUUUUAAUUUAAUCAUCAGAAUUAAAAUUAC